CCUACGGGUGGCAGCAGUGGGGAAUAUUGGACAAUGGGCGAAAGCCUGAUCCAGCCAUGCCGCGUGUGUGAAGAAGGCCUUCGGGUUGUAAAGCACUUUCAGUGGGGAAGAAAGCCUUGGGGCUAAUACCCUCGAGGAAGGACAUCACCCACAGAAGAAGCACCGGCUAACUCCGUGCCAGCAGCCGCGGUAAUACGGAGGGUGCGAGCGUUAAUCGGAAUUACUGGGCGUAAAGCGCGCGUAGGCGGUCUGAUAAGCCGGUUGUGAAAGCCCCGGGCUCAACCUGGGAACGGCAUCCGGAACUGUCAGGCUAGAGUGCAGGAGAGGAAGGUAGAAUUCCCGGUGUAGCGGUGAAAUGCGUAGAGAUCGGGAGGAAUACCAGUGGCGAAGGCGGACUUCUGGACUGACACUGACGCUGAGGUGCGAAAGCGUGGGUAGCAAACAGGAUUAGAUACCCUUGUAGUC
rnacentral:rRNA from 1 species